AGUGAACGCUGGCGGUCUGCCUAACACAUGCAAGUCGAACGGCAGCACAGUAAGAGCUUGCUCUUACGGGUGGCGAGUGGCGGACGGGUGAGGAAUACAUCGGAAUCUACUUUUUCGUGGGGGAUAACGUAGGGAAACUUACGCUAAUACCGCAUACGACCUACGGGUGAAAGCAGGGGAUCUUCGGACCUUGCGCGAUUGAAUGAGCCGAUGUCGGAUUAGCUAGUUGGCGGGGUAAAGGCCCACCAAGGCGACGAUCCGUAGCUGGUCUGAGAGGAUGAUCAGCCACACUGGAACUGAGACACGGUCCAGACUCCUACGGGAGGCAGCAGUGGGGAAUAUUGGACAAUGGGCGCAAGCCUGAUCCAGCCAUACCGCGUGGGUGAAGAAGGCCUUCGGGUUGUAAAGCCCUUUUGUUGGGAAAGAAAAGCAGCAGGUUAAUACCCCGCUGUUCUGACGGUACCCAAAGAAUAAGCACCGGCUAACUUCGUG
rnacentral:rRNA from 1 species